GACGAACGCUGGCGGCGUGCUUAACACAUGCAAGUCGAACGGAAAGGCCCUGCUUGCAGGGUACUCGAGUGGCGAACGGGUGAGUAACACGUGGGUGAUCUGCCCUGCACUUCGGGAUAAGCUUGGGAAACUGGGUCUAAUACCGGAUAGGAGCCAUCUUUAGUGUGGUGGUUGGAAAGUUUUUUCGGUGUAGGAUGAGCUCGCGGCCUAUCAGCUUGUUGGUGGGGUAAUGGCCUACCAAGGCGGCGACGGGUAGCCGGCCUGAGAGGGUGUACGGCCACAUUGGGACUGAGAUACGGCCCAGACUCCUACGGGAGGCAGCAGUGGGGAAGAUUGCACAAUGGGCGCAAGCCGGAUGCAGCGACGCCGCGUGGGGGAUGAAGGCCUUCGGGUUGUAAACUCCUUUCGCUAGGGACGAAGCUUUUUGUGACGGUACCUAGAUAAGAAGCACCGGCUAACUACGUG
rnacentral:rRNA from 1 species